GGGGGAAAAAUUAAUAAAUUUAAAAAUAAUUAAAGUAGUUUUAAUAUUAGAAUAGGGGGUUUUAGUAUUAAUAAAGAAAUAAUUAAAAAAUUUAUAGUUAAUUAGUAUUGUGUAAGAAUUAUGAAAUAUAUUGAAAAUAAAUUAAUUAAAAAGUAAAUAUAAUUUAUUGUAUCUUGUGUAUCAGAGUUUAUUAAAUACUUAUUUUGGGUUUAAAUAUUUCUCGAGUUAAAAAGAGAUAAUUAAUUAUAAAAGUUAUUGUUGCAUAAAUAUUUUAAAUAGUUAAUUAGAAGUGAAAUGUUAAUCGUUUUUUAAGAUAUCUAGUUUUUUUAGAAAAAAAUUUAAUUUUAAAUUUAAUUUUUAAAUUAAUUAAUUAAUUAAUUAAUUUAAAAUAAAAUUUUAUAUUUUAAGGGAUAAGCUUUAAAUUAAAUUUUUAUAAUUAUUAUUAUUAAAUUAUAAAAAAAUUUUAAAAUUUAUAUUGUUUAAAAAUUUUAUUUUAUUAUAAAAAAUUUUUUAUUAAAAAAAAAAUUUUAUAAAUGAAAUUUAAUUAUUUAUAAAAAAAAAUUUUUAAAUAAGAUAAAAUUAGUUAUAAUGAUAAAAUUAGUAUUAAUUAUAAAUAAAAAAAAAAUUAAUUUUAGUAAGUUAAAUAAAAGGAAUUCGGCAAAUUUUUAUAUUCACUUGUUUAUCAAAAACAUGUCUUUUUGUGAAUAAUUUAAAGUCUAAUCUGCCCACUGAUAAUAUAUUAAAGGGCUGCAGUAUAUUGACUGUACAAAGGUAGCAUAAUCAAUAGUCUUUUAAUUGGUGACUUGUAUGAAGGAUUGGAUGAGAUAUAUACUGUCUCUAAUUUAUAUAAAGAAUUUAAUUUUUUAAUUAAAAAGUUAAAAUAAAUUUAAAAGACGAGAAGACCCUAUAGAGUUUUAUAUUAAAAUUUAUUAAAAUUAUAUAUUAGUUAGAAAAAAAUAAUAAAUUUAAAGUAUUUUAUUGGGGUGAUGGAAAAAUUGAAUUAACUUUUUUUUUUAAUUAUUUCAUUGAUAGGUGAAUAAUUGAUCCAAAAUUUUUGAUUAUAAGAAAAAAUUACCUUAGGGAUAACAGCGUAAUUUUUUUUUUUAGUUCAAAUAAAAAAAAGAGUUUGCGACCUCGAUGUUGGAUUAAGAUAAAAUUUAUAUGCAAAAGUAUAAGAUUUUGAUCUGUUCGAUCAUUAAAAUCUUACAUGAUCUGAGUUCAAACCGGUGUGAGCCAGGUUGGUUUCUAUCUUUAAAUAAAUAAGAUAUUUUAGUACGAAAGGAAUAAGUAUUUAAAUUAAAUUUAAUUUUAUGAAUUUUAUUAAAUAGUAAUAUAUAAAUUAAAA
rnacentral:rRNA from 1 species